GAUGAACGCUUGCGGCGGCGUAACACAUGCAAGUUAGUCGCGGUGUCAAGAAGUGGUAACCGAUUGAUAUCGGAGUAGCGGAGGUGAGUAAAGCAUAGAACUGUCCUACCACGGUAACGUCCGGAAACGGACCCUAAUACCCCAUAGUCCGAGAGGUUAAAGGCAGAGAUGUGCCGUAGGAGGUGCUCGUGUCCUAUCAGCUAGUUGGUGAGGUAAGGGCUCACCAAGGCGACGACGGGUAGCCGGCCUGAGAGGGUGACCGGCCACACUGGAACUGAGAUACGGUCCAGACUCCUACGGGAGGCAGCAGUGGGGAAUAUUGGGCAAUGGGAGGAAUCCUGACCCAGCGACGCCGCGUGAACGAAGACGGCCUUCGGGUUGUAAAGUUCUUUUAUGUGGAAGAAGGAAGUGACGGUACCACAUGAAUAAGC
rnacentral:rRNA from 1 species